rnacentral:rRNA from 1 species
GACGAACGUUGGCGGCGUGCCUAAUACAUGCCAGUCGAGCGAAGUUUUUCUGGUGCUUGCACUAGAAAAACUUAGCGGCGAACGGGUGAGUAACACGUAAAGAACCUGCCUCAUAGACUGGGACAACUAUUGGAAACGAUAGCUAAUACCGGAUAACAGCAUUAACUGCAUGGUUGAUGUUUAAAAGUUGGUUUUGCUAACACUAUGAGAUGGCUUUGCGGUGCAUUAGCUAGUUGGUGGGGUAAAGGCCUACCAAGGCGACGAUGCAUAGCCGACCUGAGAGGGUGAUCGGCCACACUGGGACUGAGACACGGCCCAGACUCCUACGGGAGGCAGCAGUAGGGAAUCUUCCGCAAUGGGCGAAAGCCUGACGGAGCAACGCCGCGUGAGUGAAGAAGGAUUUCGGUUCGUAAAGCUCUGUUGUUAGGGAAGAAUGAUUGUGUAGUAACUAUACACAGUAGAGACGGUACCUAACCAGAAAGCCACGGCUAACUACGUG